UACACCUUAUCAAAACUCAUCCAGUUAUACGCUUCCGGCUUCCCCCAUCUCCCUCACAUCGUCAAUUAGUUCGUCUCCCUCUCAAUCGACCACCACCGUUCCAGCUCCUCUCUCCUCUGAGUGUGUUUCUCUCUCGCUGGCUCGCUCCUGCUAGGGUUCCGAUUGAAGCCAUGGCUAGCUAUCUCGCCGCUUAAAUCCACAACUUGCCGUAGCCGUCUUCAAUUUCACAAUGGUUUAGGUCCAUCUGUAAAUCGUUGAGCCGCCUUACUUCAAUCGCUGACUUGUUCUCUCGUCGAACGGCAAAAGCUUAUUCAAGGCCGAGGCCGCUCUGCUUCUCCCCAACAACUCUGCUUCUCCUAAACAACUCCAGGUUUGCACAUUUCAGUUGAUUUUGAAGAACGCGGCUUCGUUACUGGAUAAUAACGAUCCAAUAAAGUUGGAAGCUGAAGCUAGUCUUAGGGAUCUCGUAAGAAGGUGGCAGAUGCACUCAUGGACUCAAUAUCUUCCCUAAACAAAUUCGAGCAGGGUGUCAAGGAUUGCCUUGAAAUUUAACUGUUUUGAUUUCCUUCAGAGUUGAGAGAUUCUGGUUCAUAUUGCACUUAUUUGAAGACAGAAAUUGUUCAAGUCAUAAGAAAUGGAUAAGAAUUGGAUGACGAUAAAAAAUAGGUGGCCAAAGCAGUAUAAACAAGGGGUGGAAUCUUUCAUAGAAUUUGCGAUGGCGAAUUCAGG